rnacentral:rRNA from 1 species
AACGAACGCUGGCGGCAGGCUUAACACAUGCAAGUCGAGCGCCCCGCAAGGGGAGCGGCAGACGGGUGAGUAACGCGUGGGAAUCUACCCAUCUCUACGGAAUAACGCAUGGAAACGUGUGCUAAUACCGAAUACGUCCUUCGGGAGAAAGAUUUAUCGGAGAUGGAUGAGCCAGAGUUGGAUUAGCUAGUUGGUGGGGUAAAGGCCUAGCAAGGCGACGAUCCAUAGCUGGUCUGAGAGGAUGAUCAGCCACACUGGGACUGAGACACGGCCCAGACUCCUACGGGAGGCAGCAGUGGGGAAUAUUGGACAAUGGGCGCAAGCCUGAUCCAGCCAUGCCGCGUGAGUGAUGAAGGCCCUAGGGUUGUAAAGCUCUUUCACCGGUGAAGAUAAUGACGGUAACCGGAGAAGAAGCCCCGGCUAACUUCGUGCCAGCCGCCGCCGUAACAC